rnacentral:rRNA from 1 species
UUGAGAUUUAAAGCCAUCACCGAAGCCUGUGACCAUUUGAUCACUAGGCAAUGUGGUGUACAGGUCGUUCCUCAAAAGUACUGCUCCACUCUAAGUCCAUUAAUGAGUACGGUAGUGCGGACAUGGCCCACAGAGGGUGAAAGGCCCGUGUGGACGGAGAUCAGGUAAGCCAGCGCCUUUCUGGUUAGACCUUGGAGUCGGGUUGUUUGGGAAUGCAACCCAAAAAGGGUGGUAAACUCCAUCCGAAGCUAAAUACAAGCACGAGUCCGAUAGCGAACAAGUACCGUGAGGGAAAGUUGAAAAGUACUUUGAAGAGAGAGUAAACAGUGCGUGAAACCGGUCAGAGGUAAACGGGUGGAGUUGAACUGCAAGCUCUGAGAAUUCAACUGAUGAGUGUGUCUUGAGCUUUGGAUGUUGGGCCCUGGAGUCUGCUUAGCAGCAUGGCUUCACUCCUCGGAGAAAAGGUGCGCGAGGCACUUAUCAAGUGUUGUGCGCUCUGGGUGUUCAUAAAACCACUUGUCAGUGCACUUUCUCAGAGUAGACACAACAACCGGCACUGAUGCCUGUGUGUUAUGGAUAAACCAGAGUUGCAUUGCCAUUGUGAAUCUGCUUAACCAUAAAGGCAGGAGGGCCGUGACUUGCUUGUGGCUAUCCUGCAGAAAUUGGGUCAUUGAGUGUUAUCAGAUGACCAUAAGAGUUCUGUGCUUGAUAAGUGCAGACGGCACCUUUUGUCCGAGGAGGGGAGCCAUGCUGGUUAGCGGAUCCCAGGGCCCAACGUCCAAAGGCCAAGAUACACUCACCUGUUGAAUUCUCGGAGCUUGCUCAUUCACUCCACGCGUUUACCUCAGUACUGAUUCACGAAUAGUUUACUCUCUCUUCAAAGGACUAUUCAACUUACCCUAGGGGAAAU